UACGUAGGGGGCAAGCGUUGUCCGGAUUUAUUGGGCGUAAAGAGCGUGUAGGCGGCUUUACAGGUCCGUUGUGAAAACUCGAGGCUCAACCUCGAGACGCCGGUGGAAACCGUAAAGCUAGAGUCCGGAAGAGGAGAGUGGAAUUCCUGGUGUAGCGGUGAAAUGCGCAGAUAUCAGGAGGAACACCCGUGGCGAAAGCGGCUCUCUGGGACGGGUACUGACGCUGAGACGCGAAAGCGUGGGGAGCGAACAGG
rnacentral:rRNA from 1 species